AAAAUAAAUAAUAAAAUACUUUAGUAAAAAAUUUGUGUUGUAUCACAUUACAUAAUUGUAAAAGCUGUUGUUUUUUUUAAAUAUAGGCCUAGUUGCACUAUAAUCAACAUAGUAGCAUAUAGCCAAUAAAUAUAUCGAAGUUUGUAUUUUGUAGAAGCCAAACAAAACUGUUCUUUUUUGUUUACAAUACUUAUUAUUUAAUUAAUUAAACAUAAAGUACAAUUAAUCAGCAUAAGUUUAAACUUCUGCAUCUUGAUAACUUUCGGACCAUUAUAUUAUUCAUUAUUUUUAAUACCCCCCCCCCCCC